AGCGGAAAGGACUGCACGUUUCCAAGACACCCGAGGCACAACGUUAACAAGCAACGACGCCAUCGUCGGCCAUCGACGACAGCGAAGACGAGUAGGUGCACGGCGAAUGCAGCGGCCAACUAGACCGAGUCGGUUCAGACACCGGCCACUCUACAUAAUUGCUGACUGUUGUAUAGUGUGUGCGUGCUGCAUCCCCUCUGCGACUUGGCAUCAGCCCCUACAGCGUCCCUGAGGGCAAGCGUAUUUUUUUCCUGACAUGGGACAUUCGUACGGUCGCAGCGACGCAACGUUUGGAUUUAGGCAUCGUGUACAAGCCGAAACUGUGACGACGCCGGCGGGGGUUGGGUGCAGUGGGUCGCAAGAACAUCCGAGAGAAGGAAGAGAAGAGUUUCUCGCCUCGUCGGAGAAACGAACUGUACAGAGAGGGCAGGAGAAAGCGAAGUGCUCAUGCAAUGCAGAUCGUUAAAGCGUACCGGCGCGCGUUGCGCCGGUGACCCGAAUGUGGCUUACGGAGACAAAGCGAGGGCCAAAAAGGUGUAGGAAGAUAGAGGAAAAAGGAAGAGGAAAUAGAGGAAAGAGUAGCGAGUGGUCUCCGUCCGUUUCCUCGUUCUCGCGAUUCCCUGUUUCUCGUUUACAUCGUCUCUCGAAUCUGUGCCGUGGCAAGUGGAACGUAAGUAAUGCUACCCUCCCAUCGCGCAACUGAGAAAUAUCGUUGAACCGGCCGUUCCCUGGACUGUCUUUUUCCGCCCCUUUUUCUCCAUUCCGCCGGCUUCCAGCAUCGCGUUCGUCGCCACUGGCUCGCGCGACAAUUCGACCUCGGAACAACCCUCUGAUGUUUAUCGUUAUUACCACGGGUGCAAUUUCUGCCCGGCCAAUCGAAGAUUCGAAUUAACGAGUAUGCACGCCGUGAGGAAGCGGGUUUCGUUUCACCGAAAAGCUUUUUCCUGCCUCGCGAACGACCCUCUGAAAUCCUAUUUUCUUCUAACGAUCCGAUUUGGCGAAGAAAGCGAACAUUAGCCAUUGACUGGA
rnacentral:misc_RNA from 1 species